GACGAACGCUGGCGGCGUGCUUAACACAUGCAAGUCGAACGAUGAAGCCCAGCUUGCUGGGUGGAUUAGUGGCGAACGGGUGAGUAACACGUGAGUAACCUGCCCCUGACUCUGGGAUAAGCGUUGGAAACGACGUCUAAUACUGGAUAUGACUACUGGUCGCAUGGCCUGGUGGUGGAAAGAUUUUUUGGUUGGGGAUGGACUCGCGGCCUAUCAGCUUGUUGGUGAGGUAAUGGCUCACCAAGGCGACGACGGGUAGCCGGCCUGAGAGGGUGACCGGCCACACUGGGACUGAGACACGGCCCAGACUCCUACGGGAGGCAGCAGUGGGGAAUAUUGCACAAUGGGCGAAAGCCUGAUGCAGCAACGCCGCGUGAGGGAUGACGGCCUUCGGGUUGUAAACCUCUUUUAGUAGGGAAGAAGCGAAAGUGACGGUACCUGCAGAAAAAGCACCGGCUAACUACGUGCCAGCCGCCGCCGUAA
rnacentral:rRNA from 1 species